GACUGUGGAAACAAGUUCUGUCAACGAGAGGAAAAGCCUUGAGACUUCACCCACACAGUGUUGAGGUUACUGGAUUGCUACCCGUCUCAAAUGUCCACAAUUAAAGGUAAUGAAGUUGAGAGAAAAUACAGAACACCACCAGAGUACUCUCAGGGUCAAGCUGCUUCAGAACCGUUCGUGUAGCGCUGCCAACCCGUCGAGCCCAGCUGGGACCAUGAUUGCUUCAGGACUGGCUGAAGAACAGAUGUUGGUUGUGACAAGAAAAACUGAAGUCCACGAAAGCAUGGCAUCCCGAGCUCUCCUGAGCGAAAAGUUGCAAUGCACUUGGAUGAGUUUUAGAGAUCACCAAUGAAAUAAUGCUGUUUGCCAGUGACCUCUACCUUGUAUUUUCUUAAUCCCACUCCAGGUAACAU
rnacentral:lncRNA from 1 species